rnacentral:rRNA from 1 species
AGAGUUUGAUCCUGGCUCAGAUUGAACGCUGGCGGCAUGCCUAACACAUGCAAGUCGAACGGUAACAGGCCGCAAGGUGCUGACGAGUGGCGGACGGGUGAGUAAUACGUAGGUAUCUGCCCUGUAGUGGGGGAUAACCCGGGGAAACUCGGGCUAAUACCGCAUACGCUCUUUUAUCGUUGAGAUAGGAGAGGAAAGCGAGGGACCGAAAGGCCUCGCGCUAGAGGAUGAGCCUACGCCCGAUUAGCUAGUUGGUAGGGUAAAGGCCUACCAAGGCGACGAUCGGUAGCUGGUCUGAGAGGAUGGCCAGCCACACUGGGACUGAGACACGGCCCAGACUCCUACGGGAGGCAGCAGUGGGGAAUAUUGGACAAUGGGGGAAACCCUGAUCCAGCGAUGCCGCGUGGGUGAAGAAGGCCUGCGGGUUGUAAAGCCCUUUCAGUGGGGAAGAAAAACGGGGUGUGAAAAGCGCUUCGUCUUGACGUUACCCACAGAAGAAGCACCGGCUAACUCCGUGCCAGCAGCCGCGGUAAUACGGAGGGUGCGAGCGUUAAUCGGAAUUACUGGGCGUAAAGGGCGCGUAGGCGGUUAGGUAAGUCGAGUGUGAAAGCCCUGGGCUUAACCUGGGAAUGGCAUUCGAGACCACCUAUCUAGAGUCUGGUAGAGGGAAGUGGAAUUUCCGGUGUAGCGGUGAAAUGUGUAGAUAUCGGAAGGAACACCAGUGGCGAAGGCGACUUCCUGGACCAGGACUGACGCUGAGGCGCGAAAGCGUGGGGAUCAAACAGGAUUAGAUACCCCAGUAGUCC